GGAACUCUUCCUAAAAUAAUCCUACAAAAGAACUCGAGAAAAAAACCAUUAGCUAAAAACCACAAAGGGAAAAAAGUCACCUAUCUAGUCGGGGUUGUCGAUCAUCUUAUCAUCCUCCAAGGUCCUCCUUGCACUAUGGGAAUCUAGAUACCCUCAAUGCCUUUUUCAUAUUUUCCUUCUCUCGAUCAAGAACUCCUUUAAAUGCCCACCCUUCACUAGUUCGACG
rnacentral:lncRNA from 1 species